UACGAAGGGGGCUAGCGUUGCUCGGAAUCACUGGGCGUAAAGCGCACGUAGGCGGGUCGUUAAGUCGGGGGUGAAAUCCUGGAGCUCAACUCCAGAACUGCCUUCGAUACUGGCGAUCUUGAGUCUGGGAGAGGUGAGUGGAACUCCGAGUGUAGAGGUGAAAUUCGUAGAUAUUCGGAAGAACACCAGUGGCGAAAGGCGGCUCA
rnacentral:rRNA from 1 species